ensembl:lncRNA
AGGCUUACCUUCAUGCUGGAGGAGAGGAGCAGUCCAGUGUUUCCUUCUGUCUUCAGGUUACAGCAGGUGGGAAGGAGUUCAUUGAAUAACCGAUGAUGGAAGUUUUCUGGAAGCCACCAACGAUUCAUCCCAGAAGCUGCGAGCUUCUUCCUGGUCAGUUUUGAAACACUUCUAUGAAUCUAUGAAAACUAUGGAUCGAUGUUGCAACAUACAUCUAUUAGGUGUUGGAAUUCCCUGGAAAGAGUUUGGAAGUGGAUUCUUGAGAAUCCCAUUUUACUGAAAUUAAACACUUUUGUGCGACGAAGGAGUAAGGAUUAAACAGAGGGCUCUGUAUCCUCGCUCAGGAACUUUUGAACUUCAAACAUUUCAUUUUCUGCUUUCCAGUGAUUUUUAUGCACCAAUUUGUUCCUUUUAUGUGUCAUUUUAUGGUAGAAAUGUCUUUACUUCUGUAAAAGACAACACAAAAUCAAACCAGC